rnacentral:tRNA from 1 species
GCUUGCCUGGCUCAGUCAGUAGAGCGUGUAACUCUUGUUCUCAGGGUUGUGGGUUCAAGCCCCACGUUGGGCU